AAAGAUGGAUUUAAUUGGAGGAGGUAUCUUGCCUGCCUUGCAGAUCCCAUCGCCUUUGGGUAAAUCGCGUAGACUGUUCUGCCGUUUGCGGUGCUGUUCUGUCCUGCACAAUGGAGCUGCGUUGUCACGUCCUUAGAUCAGGUUUGUGCCUUUGUGUCUGUGGAAUGAUAAGCCCGGGCUCGGGGAGGCGGUUCACAAGCGU
rnacentral:lncRNA from 1 species